AACUCGAUCUCAAAUCAAGUAAGACUACCCGCUGAACUUAAGCAUAUCAAUAAGCGGAGGAAAAGAAACUAACAAGGAUUCCCCUAGUAACGGCGAGUGAAGCGGGAUGAGCUCAAAUUUAAAAUCUGGCUGGUUUACUAGUCCGAAUUGUAGUUUAUAGAAGCGUUUUCGGUGGCAGCCUGGGUAUAAAUCCUUUGGAAUAGGGUAUCAUAGAGGGUGAGAAUCCCGUCUUUGACUCAGUGCAUGCUACUAUGUGAUACGUUUUCAAAGAGUCGAGUUGUUUGGGAAUGCAGCUCAAAAUGGGUGGUAAAUUUCAUCUAAAGCUAAAUAUUGGCGAGAGACCGAUAGCGAACAAGUACCGUGAGGGAAAGAUGAAAAGAACUUUGAAAAGAGAGUUAAACAGUGCGUGAAAUUGUUGAAAGGGAAACGUUUGACACCAGUUAUGCGGGUGGAAAAUCAGUCUUUUGCAAUGGGGAGUUGUGGGCGUUCAGACCGCAAGGCUGGCGUUUGCUUCAUCUUUGUUGUAAGUGAUGCACUUUUUCAUUUGCAGGUCAACAUCAGUUUGCUUUGCUGGACAAAACCCCAAGGGAAGGUGGCAGCUUAGGCUGUGUUAUAGCCCUGGGGCGAUACAGUGGAGUGGACUGAGGUUUCGCAGUGUGUGCUCUCG
rnacentral:rRNA from 1 species